rnacentral:rRNA from 1 species
UGGGGAAUAUUGGACAAUGGGCGCAAGCCUGAUCCAGCAAUGCCGCGUGUGUGAAGAAGGCCUUCGGGUUGUAAAGCACUUUUAUCAGGAGCGAAACGCUGUCGGCUAAUACCCGGCGGAACUGACGGUACCUGAGGAAUAAGCACCGGCUAACUUCGUGCCAGCAGCCGCGGUAAUACGAAGGGUGCAAGCGUUAAUCGGAAUUACUGGGCGUAAAGCGUGCGUAGGCGGUUUCUUAAGUCUGCUGUGAAAUCCCCGGGCUCAACCUGGGAAUGGCAGUGGAUACUGGGAGGCUAGAGUGUGUCAGAGGGUGGUGGAAUUCCCGGUGUAGCGGUGAAAUGCGUAGAGAUCGGGAGGAACAUCAGUGGCGAAGGCGGCCACCUGGGACAACACUGACGCUGAGGCACGAAAGCGUGGGGAGCAAACAGGAUUAGAUACCCUGGUAGUCCACGCCCUAAAGCGAUGCGAACUGGAUGUUGGUCUCAACUCGGAGAUCAGUGUCGAAGCUAACGCGUUAAGUUCGCCGCCUGGGGAGUACGGUCGC